rnacentral:rRNA from 1 species
ACGCUGGCGGCGUGCCUAAUACAUGCAAGUAGAACGCACAGUAUAUACCGUAGCUUGCUACACCAUAGACUGUGAGUUGCGAACGGGUGAGUAACGCGUAGGUAACCUGCCUGGUAGCGGGGGAUAACUAUUGGAAACGAUAGCUAAUACCGCAUAAUAUUAAUUAUUGCAUGAUAAUUGAUUGAAAGGUGCAAUUGCACCACUACCAGAUGGACCUGCGUUGUAUUAGCUAGUAGGUGAGGUAACGGCUCACCUAGGCGACGAUACAUAGCCGACCUGAGAGGGUGAUCGGCCACACUGGGACUGAGACACGGCCCAGACUCCUACGGGAGGCAGCAGUAGGGAAUCUUCGGCAAUGGACGAAAGUCUGACCGAGCAACGCCGCGUGAGUGAAGAAGGUUUUCGGAUCGUAAAGCUCUGUUGUAAGAGAAGAACGGGUGUGAGAGUGGAAAGUUCACACUGUGACGGUAUCUUACCAGAAAGGGACGGCUAACUACGUGCCAGCAGCCGCGGUAAUACGUAGGUCCCGAGCGUUGUCCGGAUUUAUUGGGCGUAAAGCGAGCGCAGGCGGUUAGAUAAGUCUGAAGUUAAAGGCUGUGGCUUAACCAUAGUACGCUUUGGAAACUGUUUAACUUGAGUGCAGAAGGGGAGAGUGGAAUUCCAUGUGUAGCGGUGAAAUGCGUAGAUAUAUGGAGGAACACCGGUGGCGAAAGCGGCUCUCUGGUCUGUAACUGACGCUGAGGCUCGAAAGCGUGGGGAGCGAACAGGAUUAGAUACCCUGGUAGUCCACGCCGUAAACGAUGAGUGCUAGGUGUUAGGCCCUUUCCGGGGCUUAGUGCCGCAGCUAACGCAUUAAGCACUCCGCCUGGGGAGUACGACCGCAAGGUUGAAACUCAAAGGAA